rnacentral:rRNA from 1 species
CUACGGGCGGCACCAGUGGGGAAUAUUGCACAAUGGAGGAAACUCUGAUGCAGCAACGCCGCGUGGAGGAUGACACUUUUCGGAGCGUAAACUCCUUUUAUAUAGGAAGAAGAUGACGGUACUAUAUGAAUAAGCGCCGGCUAACUCCGUGCCAGCAGCCGCGGUAAUACGGAGGGCGCAAGCGUUACUCGGAAUCACUGGGCGUAAAGAGCGUGUAGGCGGAUUAAAAAGUCAGAAGUGAAAUCCUAUAGCUUAACUAUAGAACUGCUUCUGAAACUCUUAAUCUAGAAUGUGGGAGAGGUAGAUGGAAUUUCUGGUGUAGGGGUAAAAUCCGUAGAGAUCAGAAGGAAUACCGAUUGCGAAGGCGAUCUACUAGAACAUUAUUGACGCUAAGGCGUGAAAGCGUGGGGAGCAAACAGGAUUAGAUACCCGCGUAGUC